GACAAAAAUUAUCCCUCACUAAACCCUCAGAAAGUAAAACCUCUUAAUGAGGGAACAACGACAGAAAAAACUUUUCCUGCUUUUUUUUUCUUUACCUCGUUUUAUUUUCGUUCCCUCCUAUUUCUUCCAAAAGCCAACAAUUUCCUCUCAAAGCCCUAAAUGAUAGUCAAAUCUCUCCUUCGCCCUUGAAAUCGCCUCCACCACAGUCAACCUGCAUCGCCAUCUUCGAAGACUCUCAAAGGAAAACCUAAUCCGAAAUCACAUCCUAAUUGGCUUUCUCGUUGACUUGCCUCUCAAUUCCAUGUUGAGUCCGAUCUAUUGAUUCAUCCUUUAUUGCUGCUUCAGAUCGUACAUCUGCUCAGCAGCAACAGCGACAUCGAUCACCUGACAGGGUAGCAGCAUCGGUUCUGUUGGCAGUGGCUGGAACACUGUGGUGGUCAUCCCAUUCAAACACUUGUUCGUAAAAAUUUGAUUAACCUUGAGGAAGCUUAGAUAAAAUUGAAAGCAUGGUACUGACAAAUUCAAAGAUAAAAAGAUAUCGACAACAUCAAUCCCAGUUUCCUGGUCAGCCACACACCUCUGAACAUUUUCAGGUUAUUGUGGAAAUUGUUCCUAUAAACAUUGUCACAAAUAUUUGUCACCAUACCACCGUAGGGCCGUCAUCGGAACACCGCUAGACCACCGUCGGGCCGCUGCCAUUAGUUGGCAUUUUCCUUAUCGUAUUCAUAGCUUAAUAAAACAAACAUUAUAACUCUCAUUUUUUUGGUAAUACUUUAUACUUUUCCCGCUAGAAUAUAUAAAAUUUUAGUACAAAAAAAUACAAUUAUAUCUUGAAAAAAUCAUUUUUCUUUUUCCUAAAUUUUAGAUUUCUUUAAAAAAAUAUAUUGUGUAUAAAAAUUAUUAUUAGUUUAAUAAACAUAAUAAUUUAUUUUACAUAGUUUAAUAUUUUCAUGCAUACAUUCAUUCAUAUUUUAACACAAAAUUUAUAUAAAAUAUACAACUUAAUACAGUCUUUUUUUAGUUUAAUAUAUAAAAAUUACAACAUACAAUAAAUUAUAUUCUAAUUCACAUAUUUAAAAAAGUCAAAUCCAAACUCUACCACCACUACCAACUACUACUAUACACACCACCACUAACCAUUUGUGUCACUGUCGCAACCAUCAUUCUCUCCAAAUCAGAUAUGUAUAUAAAAUCAUUGAUUGACAGCUUUAAUAAUAUAUUCACAAUUUAAUAAACCAGUUGAUUCCCUUAUUCACAGUUUAAUGCAAAAUAAUUAUAAAAACUAAUAUAUUCUUACAUAGUUAUACAACACAAAAAAUAAAUAUAUUCAUAAGAAAAUUAAUACAAACAUUCCUAUAUAAAUCAUUCAUAUUUGAAACAAAAUUCAUUAAAAUUAACAGCUUAAUAAAGUCAAUUCAUAGCUUAAUAUAAUGUUACAUCCGGAAUGUAUAAGGUACUAAUCUUGUAUUUAUUUAAGGUUAUUAGCUUUAUACGGUUUAGGCUUGGACCUUUGGGCCUUUGUGUUUGGGCUGAGGAAGCACGUACGGGGGCAUACCUUGCCAUGUACGCUCAACGUACUCAAGGAAUUAGACCGUGGAAGCCAUGCACGUAU